AAGAGGAGAAGGGAGGAAGGGAGAAGGGGAGAGGGGCAUAAGAGAGGAAGGGAGAGGGAAGGAAGAAGAGUGGCUUCCUCCCCUCAAAGUAAAAACGGUUAUAGAGUGUUUUUUAAGAGAGAGGGAACUAGGGUUUUGAGAGAGGGCCUUCCCGAGACUUCAUGGUUAUAUUCUUGGUGAAGAAUUUGUUUACCAAUGGCCACAUUGACCAGCAGGGCCUGGAUUUGCACAUUUUUCCAGUGGUUCACAGAUGCAUGGAAUGGAAGCGAUGUAGAUUCUUCUUUUGACAAAUUGCUGGCUGCAUUUGUGACAAUUAUAUUUUAUUUUAUUCGGAUUUUAAUCCAUAUCCAUGUAAUCUUAUUUUAGUCCAGUCAACAAAUUGGUCUAAGAUCCUCAUACUGGAAAGUAGGUUUGUUUUUUUUUUUCCUUAACUUUUCAGUAAGCCGCACACCAUUGAAUUUAUUCUCAUUUUUGGAUAUGCCAAUGGAAAAUGUACUUCCUUUAUUAUUUAUUUAUUUAUUUAUUUGGUGGGACAA